CUUUGUACACGCGGGAGCUCGGAGCACCGGGCUGAGAGGGCGCUGACCUCCGUCUCAGCGAUGUUUCACAUGAAACAUCGGCAGACGGACACCGCUGCGUCGACCGCCGAACCUGUUACCGGGUAAUGCCGGCGUAGGGAGUAGGUCUCAUGACCAU
rnacentral:ncRNA from 1 species